GGGGGAAUAUUGGACAAUGGGCGCAAGCCUGAUCCAGCGACGCCGCAUGAGUGAUGAAGGCCUUCGGGUUGUAAAGCUCUGUUGAGGGAGAAGAAAACGUCUGGCGUGAAUAACUCCAGACCUUGACGGUAUCCCUUUAGAAAGCACCGGCUAACUCUGUGCCAGCAGCCGCGGUAAGACAGAGGGUGCGAACGUUGCUCGGAAUUACUGGGCGUAAAGCGCGUGUAGGCGGACUGGUAAGUCGGACGUGAAAUCCCUGGGCUCAACCCAGGAACUGCAUCCGAAACUAUCAGUCUGGAGUGGUGGAGAGGGAAGCAGAAUUCCUGGUGUAGAGGUGAAAUUCGUAGAUAUCAGGAGGAACACCGGUGGCGAAGGCGGCUUCCUGGACACUAACUGACGCUGAGACGCGAAAGCGUGGGGAGCAAACAGGAUUAGAUACCCUGGUAGUCCACGCCGUAAACGAUGAGUGCUGGGUGUCGCGGG
rnacentral:rRNA from 1 species